UACGUAGGGUGCAAGCGUUGUCCGGAAUUAUUGGGCGUAAAGAGCUCGUAGGCGGUCUGUUGCGUCGGCUGUGAAAACCCGGGGCUCAACCCCGGGCCUGCAUCCGAUACGGGCAGACUAGAGUUCGGCAGGGGAGACUGGAAUUCCUGGUGUAGCGGUGAAAUGCGCAGAUAUCAGGAGGAACGCCGGUGGCGAAGGCGGGUCGCUGGGCCGGUACUGACGCUGAGGAGCGAAAGCGUGGGGAGCGAACAGG
rnacentral:rRNA from 1 species